UGACAGUACUCCUACGGGGAGGCAGCAGUGGGGGAAUAUUGCACAAUGGGCGCAAGCCUGAUGCAGCCAUGCCGCGUGUGUGAAGAAGGCCUUCGGGUUGUUAAAGCACUUUCAGUCGUGAGGAAGGUAGUGUAGUUAAUAGCUGCAUUAUUUGACGUUUAGCGACAGAAGAAGCACCGGCUAACUCCGUGCCAGCAGCCGCGGUAAUACGGAGGGUGCGAGCGUUAAUCGGAAUUACUGGGCGUAAAGCGCAUGCAGGUGGUUUGUUAAGUCAGAUGUGAAAGCCCGGGGCUCAACCUCGGAAUAGCAUUUGAAACUGGCAGACUAGAGUACUGUAGAGGGGGGUAGGAAUUUCAGGUGUAGCGGUGAAAUGCGUAGAGAUCUGAAGGAAUACCGGUGGCGAAGGCGGCCCCCUGGACAGAUACUGACACUCAGAUGCGAAAGCGUGGGGAGCAAACAGGAUUAGAUACCCUGGUAG
rnacentral:rRNA from 1 species